GCAGCCGCGGUAAUACGUAGGUUGCAAGCGUUGUCCGGAAUUACUGGGUGUAAAGGGCGUGUAGGCGGAGAUGCAAGUUGGGAGUGAAAUCCAUGGGCUCAACCCAUGAACUGCUUUCAAAACUGCAUCCCUUGAGUAUCGGAGAGGCAAGCGGAAUUCCUAGUGUAGCGGUGAAAUGCGUAGAUAUUAGGAGGAACACCAGUGGCGAAGGCGGCUUGCUGGACGACAACUGACGCUGAGGCGCGAAAGCGUGGGGAGCAAACAGGAUUAGAUACCCC
rnacentral:rRNA from 1 species